AGAUGGUCGGCUUCUUGCGCAGUCUAGGUGGGAGGCGUUGAGAUUUUCUUUUGGGUUUUUGGAGCAUCAGUGAGAGACCACUCUGGAAGAGCUAGAUUCUAAUGGUGUUCUUGAAUCAAGACACUUGACAGUUUCAGGUGGGGAGUUUGUUUGGGGCGAACACCUCCUAAAAGGUAACUGAGGUGUGCAAAGGUUCUCUCAGGCUGGACGGAAAUCAGAUGUUGAGUGCAAAUGCAAAAGGGAGCUUGACUGCAAGACCUACAAGUCGAGCAGGUGCGAAAGCCGGCGUUAGUGAUCCGACGGUUCGGCGUGGAAGGGCCGUCGCUCAACGGAUAAAAGUUACUCUAGGGAAACCAGGCUGA
rnacentral:rRNA from 1 species